rnacentral:rRNA from 1 species
UGGGGAAUUUUGGACAAUGGGCGAAAGCCUGAUCCAGCAAUGCCGCGUGUGUGAAGAAGGCCUUCGGGUUGUAAAGCACUUUUGUCCGGAAAGAAAUGGCUCUGGUUAAUACCUGGGGUCGAUGACGGUACCGGAAGAAUAAGGACCGGCUAACUACGUGCCAGCAGCCGCGGUAAUACGUAGGGUCCAAGCGUUAAUCGGAAUUACUGGGCGUAAAGCGUGCGCAGGCGGUUGUGCAAGACCGAUGUGAAAUCCCCGAGCUUAACUUGGGAAUUGCAUUGGUGACUGCACGGCUAGAGUGUGUCAGAGGGGGGUAGAAUUCCACGUGUAGCAGUGAAAUGCGUAGAGAUGUGGAGGAAUACCGAUGGCGAAGGCAGCCCCCUGGGAUAACACUGACGCUCAUGCACGAAAGCGUGGGGAGCAAACAGGAUUAGAUACCCUGGUAGUCCACGCCCUAAACGAUGUCAACUAGUUGUUGGGGAUUCAUUUCCUUAGUAACGUAGCUAACGCGUGAAGUUGACCGCCUGGGGAGUACGGUCGCAAGAUU